rnacentral:rRNA from 1 species
GUGAGUAGUUCAGAGUUUGAUCCUGGCUCAGGAUGAACGCUGGCGGCGUGCCUAACACAUGCAAGUCGAGCGGGAUUUUGUUAAAUGAAGCUUCGGCAGAUUUUAACGAAUGAGAGCGGCGGACGGGUGAGUAACGCGUAGGCAACCUGCCCUUUGCAGAGGGAUAGCCAUUGGAAACGAUGAUUAAAACCUCAUAAUACCAGACUGAGACAUCUCUAACUGGUCAAAGAUUUAUCGGCAAAGGAUGGGCCUGCGUCUGAUUAGCUAGUUGGUGGGGUAACGGCCUACCAAGGCGACGAUCAGUAGCCGACCUGAGAGGGUGAUCGGCCACAUUGGAACUGAGACACGGUCCAA